GCCUGGGUGACUCAGUCGGUUAAGCAUCUGACUGCGGCUCAGGUCAUGGUGGGUUCGAGCCCCGCGUCGGGCU
rnacentral:tRNA from 1 species